rnacentral:rRNA from 1 species
CCCUUAGAUGUCCGGGGCCGCACGCGCGCUACACUGAAGGAAUCAGCGUGGCUUUCUCCCUGACCCGAAAGGGUUGGGAAACCCGUUGAAUCUCCUUCGUGAUAGGGAUUGGGGCUUGAAAUUGUUCCCCAUGAACGAGGAAUUCCCAGUAAGCGCGAGUCAUAAGCUCGCGUUGAUUACGUCCCUGCCCUUUGUACACACCGCCCGUCGCACCUACCGAUUGAAUGGUCCGGUGAAGCCUCGGGAUUGUGGCGAGUUCCCUUUAUUGGGAGUUUGUCGCGAGAACUUGUCUAAACCUUAUCAUUUAGAGGAAGGUGAAGUCGUAACA